AGAGACUGGCCACAGCAGUAAUCAAACUUACCAAGUGGAACCAUCCUGCAAACUAGACUGGACAGGUACUAUAAUACCUCAAGAGAAUGUGAUUGAAACUUGAAUAACUUACCUAAGGCUACAAAGUGUAUUGAAGUCUGACCGGGGUCUCCUCUGAUGUACAGAAAAGAAUAGGAAAGAAUCCAUUCUGGCAAAGAAGAUAAAGGUGUGCCUUAAAGAAAUUUUGAUUUUACACUACAGAACCUCUGCACAGCCAGCCAGACUUUCCCUCAGUCAUGACACUUGAUAGAAAACUCUAGAACAAUUGAAAUAAUCUGUUCAGAGGAAGCCAAGAACCUGAAAUCGCUUCCCAGAUUUCAUGGAUGCUUAGACGAAUGAGAGUGAAGGAAGAUUCAGAAGGUCAGAAAAGGAAUCAUAUAAAAAUUUAAUCUAUUAACAUUGUUCUAUACCCUAAGUCAACUCUCCCUGGUCCAUUGGCACAAUCAAGUCAAGCACCCUUUAGUACCAAAAGGAUUUACAUUGACAAGAAGUAAUAGAAGUAUUACCAGUACCUGUCCCCUUCUUUGCUUUCCUGCCCCUGGCUCCAAGGUAUGCUGGGAUGGAUGGAGUACACAGCUAAAUCAAAGAUCAUUGUUUCUCCUGAAACAUCAUUCAGCUUCUAACACUUUCAAUUCCAGGCAGGGGAGAUCCAGCGGAGUUGUGCUGAGUCUCAAGGCAUCACCUUGACUGGUGGUGGAGGGACAAUUAACACUAUUUGAAUUAGCCUCAUUCAAUGUACAAAAUUAUAUAGUCUCUCUCCCCAUGUCUGCCCAUCAGAGCAGAACC